GCUCCCACUUGGGCAGGGUUUCAUUUGUGUUGCCUUGUGGGUGCGUUUGUGAGCAAGGGAGACGCCGAAGCCUCUUCUCUCCUCUGCUUUUCCGGUCUCCUCCUCCCUCUCUUAUUUCGGUGAUGAGAGGCGGCGCCGAGGUUUUCUGCAGCUUCGCCGGUUCCUAGACGAGUUCGCGGUGUCAGCGGCCGCCUUUUGCUGCUCCCCCGCCUCUGAAAGUUGAAGGAUCGGGCGGCCUCGAGUUCAUUUCGGUGUUUCGAUCGCGUUUUACCCGAUCUGCCAACAUCAGCUGGCGGAAACCUUCUCAGGCCUAAUUCAUGCCAACCGCAGCAUGUGCGGUGGUCCGGAGCGCAUAAGACCGUCCCCCUCGUCUUUGUCGUCGCCGACUCCAUCCUCACAGGAAGAACAGCACCAACACGCUCCGGGCCUCGGAAUGAAUCACCUCACCGUCGAGACCGAUGACUUCUCUUCAAGCCUUCUUGAGCUCGCUGCUAACGAUGACGUGGACGCGUUACGGCAGUCCCUCGAUCGCGAUCCAUCGGCCAUCAACGAAGCCGGCCUCUGGUACAGCCGCAGAAAGGGCUCCAACCAGAUGGUGCUCGAGCACCGGACUCCCUUGAUGGUGGCCGCCACGUACGGCAGCCUCAGUGUCCUCAAGCUCAUAGUCUCCCUACCUUCCGUUGACGUCAACCGUGUCUCGGGCCCCGGCAACGCCACCGCGCUCCACUGUGCCGCUUCCGGCGGUUCCUCGGAUGCUGUCGAUGCUGUGAAGAUCCUCCUUGCGGCUGGUGCCGACCCCACUUUGGUCGAUGCCAAUGGAAACCGCGCGGCUGACGUCAUUGCGGUGCCUCCCAGGCUGCCUGAUGUGAAGAAUGUCAUCGGACAACUUCUUGGAAGGUGCAGCGAUAUCUCGGGUGGUGGCUUCGAUCGCCAUCAUCCUCCCCUUAGUGUGACGACCAGCUCGUCAAACUCCACUUCGCCACCCCGUUCUUUGUCCCCUGACGAGGAGGGUUCUCCAUCGGCCCGCUCGACUUCCUCUCCUCCGACAGCGAAGUACCCUGACCUUACAGUGACUGUGUCGGAGAGGAAAGAGUAUCCAGUUGACCCGACUCUCCCGGAUAUCAAGAACAGCAUAUAUGCCACGGAUGAGUUCCGCAUGUUCUCGUUCAAGAUCCGCCCCUGCUCUCGUGCGUAUUCCCAUGACUGGACGGAGUGCCCCUUUGCCCAUCCUGGUGAGAAUGCUCGGAGGCGCGACCCGAGGAAGUACCACUAUAGCUGCGUCCCGUGCCCUGACUUCCGGAAGGGGUCGUGCCGGAGGGGAGAUAUGUGCGAGUACGCACAUGGGGUCUUUGAGUCCUGGCUUCACCCAGCGCAGUACCGCACUAGGAUCUGCAAGGAUGGCACCAGCUGUGCUCGCCGGGUCUGUUUCUUUGCGCACACGGAUGACGAACUGCGUCCACUUUAUAUGUCCACUGGCUCUGCUGUUUCUUCUCCCAGAGCAUCAACUGCUUCAGUGGAGAUGGCAGCUGCGCUGGGGUUCAUGCCUGGGUCACCGUCUUCGGUUUCUGCUGGUAUGUCUGCCUUCACGCCACCCAUGUCCCCUUUGGCCAAUGGUAUUGGACACUCUUCGUUGGCUUGGCCUCAGCCGAAUGUGCCCAUGCUGAAUCUUCCUGUAAGCAAUCUUCAGGCUAGCAGGCUGCGGUCGUCUCUGAGUGCAAGAGAGAUGCCAGUGGACGACCAAUUAGUAAUGUCUGAGUUUGAUAAGCAGCAGCUGUUCAAUGACUGGUGCCAAUCUCGUCUGAGCUCUUCUACUGCAAAUCAUUCUGUUCGAACCAAAGCUAUGAACCCCUCAAACCUUGAUGACCUUUUUUCAGCCGAGAUCACCUCAUCUCCAAGGUAUAACUCUGAUCAGGGGUGUAUUUUUUCUCCAUCUCACAAGACUGCUAUACUAAAUCAUUUCCAGCAGCAGCAGAACUUGCUCUCACCCAUUAAUACAGGUGUGCCUAUGGUGAAGGCCACUGAUGCUCAGCAGCUACCUGUUCAUUCAUCUCUCUUACAGGCCUCCCUUAAUAUCUCAUCUCCUGGUUUCAUGUCUCCACGAAGCAUGGAGCCUGUUUCUCCAUUGAGUUCUCGCCUGGCUGUUCUUUCACAGAGGGAGAGGCAGCAGCAGACACUUCGGAGCCUGAGCUCCCGUGAUUUUGGUCCCAUAUCAUCUCCUAUUCUAGAUUCUCCCACUAACUUGUCAUGGUCCAAGUGGGCAUCUCCAUCUGGUAUACCUGAUUGGGGAGUGAAUGGUGAAGAGCUGGGACUUCUCAGACGAUCAUCUUCCUUCGAGUUACGAGGAACUGGGGAUGAGCCUGAUCUCUCAUGGGUCCAUUCACUAGUGAGGGAUACACCGCCUGAGAAAAUGGUUUCUGCUGCAGUGGCUCCUGCAGGGCAUUCUGAGUUGCCUGCCAUUGGUGUCGAAAGUUCAAAUUCAAAAGGUGAGAUGGAUGGGCAUGAUCAAGCUGUGGUACUUGGUGCAUGGCUUGAUAACAUGCAGCUUGAUCAGAUCAUAACUUAGGUAAAAAGCCAAAAUUUCACCAAAAUCUUAGAUGGGAGGUAUCAAGUAGUAAUUAGUAACAGUUCUUAAACAAUGUUUUCUUUUGGUUAAUUGGAAGGUGAAGGGAAAGAAGCAGAAAGGAGCGAGAUUCAUUUCUUCAACAAACAUAUUUAUUAUUACUUCAAUGAGUUCAGCCAAUUCAAGGAUGUAUGGGGGUGUGCUUCUGGAUUAUACGAAGGCCUAUCCCAGGGAAUCCAGGAAUAACAUGGCCAUGGAGCAUACUAUGUUAUGGACUUGUGGAAUUGCCAUCUCUUACCUUUUUGGGUUUGUGGGCAUCUCUUCUUUCCUAUCAUGUUUGCUGGGUCCUAGUGGAAGCUCGUGGUGGUGAUUGUGGUUGGGUUAGGACACCUAUCUAUUCUACCAUGAUCUGGAUCAGUAGCUUUUUGGAUUUGUUGUGUGCAAUCCAUCAAAAGGAAGUACUAUAAUGAGCAUUGAUUCAAUUCUUGGCUUUUGAUUCCAUAAGUUCUCUGAGAUUUUAGGUCAAUAUUUUUGUAAAUUGAAUAUUACCAUGUUCACCAGCAAAUUUAAGUCACUUCUAAGGUUGAGGGUUUCUGAUUCUUGUCUUCUUCUCUACAGUAGUCUAUGCUGGACAACUGGAAAAUUUUAAUUGAGAUAUAAUUGUAGAAUAUGGAUUAUGUGUUGGAUUA